rnacentral:rRNA from 1 species
GACGAACGCUGGCGGCGUGCUUAAUACAUGCAAGUCGAACGGAAAGGCGCGGCGUUUGUGGGGUUCUCGAGUGGCGAACGGGGGAGUAACACGUGAGUAACCUGCCCUUGACUUUGGGAUAACUUCAGGAAACUGGGGCUAAUACCGGGUAGGAGCUCCUGCUGCAUGGUGGGGGUUGGAAAGUUUCGGCGGUGGGGGAUGGACUGGCUGGUUAUCAGCUUGUUGGGGGGGUAGGGGCGUACCAAGGUUUUGACGGGUAGCCGGCCUGGGAGGGUGACCGGCCACAUUAGGACUGCGGUACGCCCCAGAAGGCAACGGGCGGCAACAGUGGGGAAUAUUACGCAAUAGGGGGAAGCCAGAUGUAGAAACGCCGCGUGCGGAAUGCUGGGUUUCGGGUUGUAAACCGCUUUCGAAUGUGCCGAAGAGUGCUUGACGGUAAUGGAUAAAGAAGCACCGGCUAACUACGUG